GAACCCCAAGAACCUGUCCCGGUCCUUCAUUCCUCUUCAGAGUUGUCAAAAAUCUCUCCACUUGAUCAUCUUCCGGGUUGUUGAUUUGAUUCAGUAGCCAGUUAGAAACUUCUUGUACUGUGCUGCAUAAGGAAUGUAUAGAAUCUUUGAUUGCUUGAGACAUCGGGGAGGAAGGUAAAUGAUCCGAAUGUUGCGCUUUCUUCUUCUUCUUCCCAGAUGGGAGAGACGAGCGGGUGCAAGCCUGAAUUACAAGACUGUGCCAAGCCAACGGUUCAGUGAUGAUCUGAACCAAGACCUGCACAUCAGAAUAGCAAGAAUUCAUCUGUGAAGAUCCCAUUGAUUUGAUUCUGUCCAGAAUAAGCCUCUCAAAUAGCAAGUUCAACACAUGCCAAUGCUCUUGGGAACUCAGGCUCCAAGCAUUCCAAAACACGGCAAAAUUCAACCAGUCAACAAGAUCUGAACCGAGCGUCUGCAGAGUUUUCCCACAAAGUCAAUAACAUUAAGACCAGUUGACAUGAGUGCACGUGGAAAGAGUAGAAUAAGCUAACCUCAAAAGUCCUUGCACCCUGUGAGAUCUCUGUGAUCAUCUCUACAGCGUCACUGAAAGAAGAUCCCAACGUUUUGGUGUACUCCUCCAGCAAAGACUUAAGUUCUUCGCAGGUUUUGAGGUCACCUCCAGACCCUUUGGUUUCAAGACUCUCCUUUAAUGCCGUUGCCGAACACUGAAUAGAGAGGUAUACCAUCCGAGGUAGAAGGGAUUUUCUCUGGAUGGAUCGUUUCACGUUUUCUUCACGAUCUUUGUUCUAUAGACAUGUAACAAUUACAAACAUUACUAAAUUGCAUCGGUCCCAAGUACAAGAGAAAGUGUAUUGAUACAGACAAACGUACCACAUUCUCUUUGGGACAGUAAGAAAAAUCUUCAAAUGAACCUACAGACGUUGUUGAUUGAUAUUAAGAAUAGCACCACAACAACAAAAAAAAUAAACAACUAAUAUAGUGAAGGAAAUACUUACCUAAUAGAUAGUUUUUCUCAGGACAAGGUGUCCACCAUGGUCGUGUUUGCAUAUCUUCAUUGAACCUCAGUGUCCUUGAUCCCAUUUCGUUCGAGAGCUCCACAAGCUGAACUCCAGAUUUCAGGUUUUCAAGAACGCGCUAGAUACAACAAGAAUACAUGCAGAGUUAGAUAUUAUUAUGAGAGGAUCAAAUAAAUGGACAUAAUUUACAGGACAAGGAUAUUGCAUUUGUUACCUCUUCUUCCUCGAUGCUAUCUGCAUUCUGCUUCAAUUGCAAUAGAGACGCUUCAACCCUCGCAGCUUCGUACUGGUUUGACUGCUGCAGUCUUUGUUUGAAUAGGACAAAUUCGAUAACCUGAGAUUUGGAUAAUUCAGAUAAGUCACGACAGUAACCAAAUGUACACGGGGAGAUGGUAACGUAGAGAAAUUCAAUAUGUUUACUUUUGAGUAAUUUCUGUGGCGGUAAGCAAGGAAUGUAAGGUCUGCUGACUCUUUCAAAUGAUCAUCCAUAAACUUGAGAUAGUCUUGUAGGAGGUUAUUUAAAUCUACCCACAUGGGGGAUUCCAACAUUUGGCAAAGAAUAUGGUGUGAAACCGUUUCCGUCAAGAUGUUCUUCACAUCCAGAGCUUUAUACCUAACAGAAGGCAAACAGGUGGUUCAGUAAAACUAGCUGAAGAAGGUUUUAUUUUCCAGGAAAAAAAAAGUAAAAAUGAGAGCUAUGAAUACCGUUCAAAUGCAAGUGGAAGAGCACCAAUAUAUGAAUAUAUGUGUAACAGCAAGAUCUUGUACUGCCAGACAUGUCUGUGAAAACAAAAGGUAAUCAUCAAGUGGCACUGUUAGAAACUCAAAUCAACGUUUUCAUAGCUAUAACAAUUAGUUACUGACCCUCGGAUUGACAAGCCCAACUCAAGAACCAUGAUAGCCUCAGCAAGAUAGCAAAAAUCUCGAGUACGCCAGUAUAACUGGAAACAACAGCAAGGUUACUUAUAUAUAUAACAACUGGUUAUGCAGUAUCGGGGAAGCAUGCAACACAACCAAAGUACCUGGACCAACAUGUUGCUAAUCAAAGAUAGAAGUUCUUCCCCAAACAUACUCUCUUGAGGAUCCAAGUCCUUGGAAAGCGGAAGAUUUUGACAGUAUAACUUCGCCAGUUUGACAGCAGAGGCUUCAAUCUCUACAUAUUGGAAGGAAAGAUGGAAUUAUAAACCGAUGCAGAACACAUGCAGAGCAACUAGAUUGCAAUAAUAAGAAACCCACAUAGUGGAGGCAACAGGAAACUAUGAUGGAAAAUGAUGCAUUACACUGUACACCAAAACAGAGAGAUGUCAUAUGCACAAAAGAGUCGCACAGCUUGUAGAUUCAAAACUGAAUCUUCAUAAGGAGAAAACAUGGAAAUUUUUCGGAAAAAGGUAUGUGAGCAAAGAGAACAUACCGCCAAGAGGAAGCUCAAAGAUGUUUCCCGUCAGUUCUUGAACUUUGAGUAUGGUUGUUGUUUGACCAAGUACUGUGGUUGCUGAUGCAGAAACCGAAUCAGCAUUUUCCACUAACAUUCCGACAAACUCUGCCUUUUUAUGAGGGGGUAAUACAUGUAGGAAUGCUUCAACGUCGGAAGCAUAGCAAGCUAAAUGACCAAAUCUGCAUGCAAAGCGAUACGCAAGUCAGACUCCGUAAGCAAAAGAUAAUAACCGAAAAAGAGUUCAUAGAGAUGUACUUGAGAAAAUAUUGCAGUAACGAUUUUAGUAACUCGCUGUCGUUCUUCUUUCCAUAUAAGAACUUUCUCUUCUCAAUUUCAAUUUCUGCCAAAUGUGGACCCCUUAAGUUACUAUUCUCAGUAUCUCUCUGUAACUUCUGCACCAAUUCUGAAGCACUUGAUAUUCGAGAAUCAAACUGCAUGUUGACAAAGAAAUUGGAUUUUAUAUAUAUGCCAGAAGUUAAGAAAAUAAACAAAGGAACACGAACUGGGAUUUUAAGUCUGGCAAGAGGUUAGUAUUAUCACCAUUUCUUCUGUAAGGUGAGAAAACUUGCAUUCUAUGUUUUUAGUUGGAUGAAUUUGAUCAAUAUCGUCAAAGAAUUUCCACAUGCUGUCAUCUUCAAACAAACAGCCGAGAUAUUGUAGGAAACACUCCCAAUCAUCUGGACUGCCAAGCGAACAAAAAAAACAUGUCAGCAUACCGACAGAAACAAUCGAAAGAUCAAUCCGGAAAGAGAGCCAACUCUGAAAACACUGAGUACACUGUGGCGGGGAGUGUGUUUGCCUCGGAAGGCUCGGUGUUAGUAGUACAGCAACAGGUGAGGAACCAGAAGGGUAGUGGUUUCUUGAAUGGCAAGUUUGAUUACAAGAAGUUAGUGUCUCAUUGGUCUUGUAAUAAUUGUUAGUUAGGACAUAUUGCUUAACUGAUUAGGUUUCUUUUUGUUUUGUACAUUCUGUAUUUUUGGGAUGAUUUUGCUUUCUAAACAAAAUUUGUAUCCAAGUUCAUUGUACAAGCUAAUAAAUUCCAAUGUAGAAGAAGCUUCAGUUGGUUGAUCAAUUUGUUUUUCAUUUUUUUUUUUAUUAUAUGCAGCUACAUUGUUAGAAUUUCACGGAUAUUUCACUAAUAAAAUAAAUAAAUAAAAUUAUUUUUUAUAAGAAAUUUGUAGGUAAAAAAACUUAAAAUAUUAAUGAAAAUUGAGUAAUUAUUUUAAAUGAUUUAUUUAAUUUAAAUAUAUAACUAAGAACUUUUGGCAAUAAAAAUACUCCAAAAACAUCUUCAUAUAUAUGUUUUCAAAAGUUAUUCUGAAACAAAAAUAAGAAAAAAUAUAUAGGUAUCUUGAAAUUUUGUAAAAAUAUUUUAUAUGUUUAUGAGAUAUUAUAUAAUAAUAAUAAUUUUUUGAGAUUGACAAAAAAAAAAAAAAAUAAUUUUUUGAGAUACUUAUAAAUUAUUUUUAUAUUUAUGAAUCAUUAUAGUUUAAUUAUAUUUUGAAAACUUGGAUAUUAGAGAUAGAAGUGUUUAAAGUGAUUCUACAAAUUGUUAAAUAACAAAGCCCAAUGGGCCAUUAUAGAGUGAACCAGACUAUUUCUUGAUAAGACUGUAUACCACUCUAAGUCUCUAACGCCGCUGCCCUUCCACCGUCGCCGGUACACUGAAUCGUCUUUAGCGGUAUGGAGGAAGACAUGGCAAACCGUCGAGUCUCGAGCCGUACUCGUAAGGUUGCUACGAAGAUGGCGGCAGCUCUUACAAGCACCGACAAUCGAACCCAGGUGUCUUGUCUGAUUUCGAAAUCACUUUUUGAUUUUUUUUUUCUUGGCAAUGAGACUUCGUUUGUGUUUGGUUAAUUCUAGGCUGCUAUAGCUAGGCUGGAAGCUUUAGAGAACGACAAUGGAGCCGUCGAGGUGGUUGAUUUGAACGAUGAUGAAGAAGCCUCUCUCGACGAAGACGAUGAUCUCGGUGAAUAAUCUUUAGAUACUCGCUGUGAUUAUGUAGGUCUUCUAGUUUUCAGUCAUGUGUUUGGUUUGUUGCAGGUUACGUGCAGAAGAAGCAGCAGAAAGGAUCAAAGCGUAAAACUCGACAAGCAAAAGCUUUGGAGGCUCGUAAAGCUCCCAAGUCCUUCACUGAGCUCUUGCAGGAGGUAAUGUAAUCAGCUCUUUGUUUAUCGUUUCUGCAGCUGAGAUCAAGCUAAUAUGGGUUCACUUUCAGGCAAAUUUGGAAUCUUUACCGUCGCAUGUCCCCACUUACUUGAAAGCAGCAGUGGGACCUCCGACUUCGUCUUCUCGCCGCCAUUUCUGCACGGUCUGUGGGUACAUUGCAGGAUACAAUUGCUGCUUAUGCGGGAUGCGUUUUUGUUCUAUCCGUUGCCAAAACAUUCACAAGGACACUCGUUGUCAGAAGUUUGUUGCAUAGGAGAAUAGAUGUAAAACAUUUUUUUCAAAAAUUGUACUGAAACAUCACCACAUCAACGUGUGUUUUGUCAAGAAUGAGAAUGAAAUAGCCAAACAAAAAGCAGCGACGUUUCUCUCUAACGUGUUCUUAUGAUUUAAGAGGACCAAUCAAACAUGGGACAUCUGUUGUUUGAGCUUUUCCAGUAGCUUUCUCUUAGAUCCGCAGAUUUGGUGAAACUCACGGAGGACUCUCUGUUGCGCGGUGACUGUUUUACGUGCUGAGUCUGCCUUGCUCCAUGUUUUUAGUGAUUCAAAGAUGCGGCUACCAACCUCUGACUCUUCGCUGGAUGCGAUGAAACUCUCUAGAACCCCAAGAACCUGUCCCGGUCCUUCAUUCCUCUUCAGAGUUGUCAAAAAUCUCUCCACUUGAUCAUCUUCCGGGUUGUUGAUUUGAUUCAGUAGCCAGUUAGAAACUUCUUGUACUGUGCUGCAUAAGGAAUGUAUAGAAUCUUUGAUUGCUUGAGACAUCGGGGAGGAAGGUAAAUGAUCCGAAUGUUGCGCUUUCUUCUUCUUCUUCCCAGAUGGGAGAGACGAGCGGGUGCAAGCCUGAAUUACAAGACUGUGCCAAGCCAACGGUUCAGUGAUGAUCUGAACCAAGACCUGCACAUCAGAAUAGCAAGAAUUCAUC
rnacentral:lncRNA from 1 species